GAGUGUAGAGCGCAGUGAAUUUUGGUUCUUUUACUAUUGGGCUUUCUCUUGGCGAAGGAGACAUAGCCCAAAUCCAGCAGAGAACUAGAAGGGAAAGGGUGAGCGAAUUGGGUUGUAGCCCAAUUACCGGAAUUGGAAACCAUAGUAGUAGAAGCAGCCAUGGAAAUGAUAAGUUACGUAGGGUUUUGUCAGGUCGAAAGCAAAGGAAGAAGAGUUUCUUCUUGCUUUUGAUAGAGAACUUGAGAAUGAGAGAGAGAGAGAGAUAGAGGAGUUUUUGGGAGAAAGAGGUAGAAAAUGA
rnacentral:misc_RNA from 1 species